UGGGGAAUCUUGCGCAAUGCGCGAAAGCGUGACGCAGCAACGCCGCGUGAGGGAAGAAGGCCUUCGGGUUGUAAACCUCUUUCAGUUGGGACGAAGUGUGGGCGGUGAACAGCCGUUCCACAUGACGGUACCUUCACAAGAAGCCCCGGCUAACUACGUGCCAGCAGCCGCGGUAAUACGUAGGGGGCAAGCGUUGUCCGGAAUCAUUGGGCGUAAAGAGCGCGUAGGCGGCCCUGUAAGUCCGCUGUGAAAGUCAAGGGCUCAACCCUUGGAUGCCGGUGGAUACUGCAGGGCUAGAGUCCGGAAGAGGCGAGUGGAAUUCCUGGUGUAGCGGUGAAAUGCGCAGAUAUCAGGAGGAACACCGAUGGCGAAGGCAGCUCGCUGGGACGGUACUGACGCUGAGGCGCGAAAGCGUGGGGAGCAAAACA
rnacentral:rRNA from 1 species